UGUACUUGGUGUUACUGCGAAGGGGGGACGGAGAAGGCUAUGUUGGCCGGGCGACGGUUGUCCCGGUUUAAGCGUGUAGGCUGGUUUUCCAGGCAAAUCCGGAAAAUCAAGGCUGAGGCGUGAUGACGAGGCACUACGGUGCUGAAGCAACAAAUGCCCUGCUUCCAGGAAAAGCCUCUAAGCAUCAGGUAACAUCAAAUCGUACCCCAAACCGACACAGGUGGUCAGGUAGAGAAUACCAAGGCGCUUGAGAGAACUCGGGUGAAGGAACUAGGCAAAAUGGUGCCGUAACUUCGGGAGAAGGCACGCUGAUAUGUAGGUGAAGCGACUUGCUCGUGGAGCUGAAAUCAGUCGAAGAUACCAGCUGGCUGCAACUGUUUAUUAAAAACACAGCACUGUGCAAACACGAAAGUGGACGUAUACGGUGUGACGCCUGCCCGGUGCCGGAAGGUUAAUUGAUGGGGUUAGCGGUAACGCGAAGCUCUUGAUCGAAGCCCCGGUAAACGGCGGCCGUAACUAUAACGGUCCUAAGGUAGCGAAAUUCCUUGUCGGGUAAGUUCCGACCUGCACGAAUGGCGUAAUGAUGGCCAGGCUGUCUCCACCCGAGACUCAGUGAAAUUGAACUCGCUGUGAAGAUGCAGUGUACCCGCGGCAAGACGGAAAGACCCCGUGAACCUUUACUAUAGCUUGACACUGAACAUUGAGCCUUGAUGUGUAGGAUAGGUGGGAGGCUUUGAAGUGUGGACGCCAGUCUGCAUGGAGCCGACCUUGAAAUACCACCCUUUAAUGUUUGAUGUUCUAACGUUGGCCCGUGAUCCGGGUUGCGGACAGUGUCUGGUGGGUAGUUUGACUGGGGCGGUCUCCUCCUAAAGAGUAACGGAGGAGCACGAAGGUUGGCUAAUCCUGGUCGGACAUCAGGAGGUUAGUGCAAUGGCAUAAGCCAGCUUGACUGCGAGCGUGACGGCGCGAGCAGGUGCGAAAGCAGGUCAUAGUGAUCCGGUGGUUCUGAAUGGAAGGGCCAUCGCUCAACGGAUAAAAGGUACUCCGGGGAUAACAGGCUGAUACCGCCCAAGAGUUCAUAUCGACGGCGGUGUUUGGCACCUCGAUGUCGGCUCAUCACAUCCUGGGGCUGAAGUAGGUCCCAAGGGUAUGGCUGUUCGCCAUUUAAAGUGGUACGCGAGCUGGGUUUAGAACGUCGUGAGACAGUUCGGUCCCUAUCUGCCGUGGGCGCUGGAGAACUGAGGGGGGCUGCUCCUAGUACGAGAGGACCGGAGUGGACGCAUCACUGGUGUUCGGGUUGUCAUGCCAAUGGCACUGCCCGGUAGCUAAAUGCGGAAGAGAUAAGUGCUGAAAGCAUCUAAGCACGAAACUUGCCCCGAGAUGAGUUCUCCCUGACUCCCUGAGAGUCCUGAAGGAACGUUGAAGACGACGACGUUGAUAGGCCGGGUGUGUAAGCGCAGCGAUGCGUUGAGCUAACCGGUACUAAUGAACCGUGAGGCUUAACCU
rnacentral:rRNA from 1 species